rnacentral:lncRNA from 1 species
CAAGGGGCCGGCCUCUUUAGAGAGAAAUGGAGAGACAUGUUCUCUCCAAUUUUCUCCAAAACAAACCCUAAUGAACAAAAGGCUAUAAAGUCAUAUUUAUACCUUUGUUCAUUUGAGUGGCAAACUUGUAAUUAAAGCAAGUUCACUACCCUUCCUCUAAAUGGCUGGCCAUGGGGUGUUGUUUGGGCUUUUGGGUCUUAGUGAAUUAAGUUGUCAUACAACUUAAGUCAAUGGACUUGACGUUCGAAGCCCAUUGGGCCUUAAGGUCCAAAACUAUCCCGAGGUCUUUAACGAAAUUAUUCGUUUGAUUAAUUAACAUAUUAAUUAAUCCUUGCCAUAAAUAAAUAAUUAAACCAUUUAAUCAUUCUUACUCAUCUCCAUUGUUUCUUCAAUCUCCACCUUACACGGUGUGCGAUCCAUUAGGUUCCUUUUAGCAAGGCAGUGGGCGAUUAAAACCAUUUUACAUCGAUUGUGAAUUGAAACUUACUUUCAAUUCUCCCUUUAGUGAUU